UACAGAGGUCCCGAGCGUUGUUCGGAUUCACUGGGCGUAAAGGGUGCGUAGGUGGUUAGGUAAGUCCGAUGUGAAAUCUCCAGGCUCAACCUGGAAAUGGCAUUGGAUACUAUUUAGCUUGAGGAGUGGAGGGGGGACUGGAAUUCUCGGUGUAGCAGUGAAAUGCGUAGAUAUCAGGAGGAAUACCGAUGGCGAAAGGCAGGUCUCUGGGCUGACACUGACGCUCAUGCACGAAAGCGUGGGGAGCAAACAGG
rnacentral:rRNA from 1 species